rnacentral:rRNA from 1 species
GACGUAGGGUGCAAGCGUUGUCCGGAUUUAUUGGGCGUAAAGAGCUCGUAGGCGGCUCGUCGCGUCGACCGUGAAAACUCGGGGCUUAACUCCGGGCCUGCGGUCGAUACGGGCGGGCUAGAGUUCGGUAGGGGAGACUGGAAUUCCUGGUGUAGCGGUGAAAUGCGCAGAUAUCAGAAGGAACACCGGUGGCGAAGGCGGGUCUCUGGGCCGAUACUGACGCUGAGGAGCGAAAGCGUGGGGAGCGAACAGG